ACAGCAUCGCGCGUGUGUGCAUGACGUUCCCAUACAAUCAAUUUGUAACUGCGCAGCGUGCAUUUGUACAAGCGCAGAGUCACCCGCGCGUUAAACCAAUAACUCCACAAAAUCAGCUGAUAUAAGACGAGCGAACCGACCGCUCCGAGUGCUACUACAGCUCUAAUCGAGUCCAGUCAUGUCGCGAUAGCACGCGCAAAUGGACGCGUCCAACGGCCCGUCGCUGCGUUUACGCGGCGGCGUCAACACAAACUGUGAGAGUAAAAAACAUGAAUUGAACAUGUGCACCAGUGCUAUGUCGCCGGAGACGCAACGGCUGCUGCCGCCGACUUCGGAGACGAUCAUGACGAAACCGUUUCCCAUACGAGGUGAAAGGGCCAACUAUGUAAACAUUCCCCACGUUAUCGCGAUGGUAGGGCUGCCUGCGCGCGGUAAGACGUAUAUCUCAAAGAAACUGUCACGGUACCUCAAUUGGAUUGGAAUAAAUACCAGGGUGUUCAACCUCGGCGAGUACAGACGCCACGCGACCACAGCGUACACGAGCCAUGAAUUCUUCCGCGCUGACAACAAGGAGGCGAUGGCCAUCCGGCAGCAGUGCGCGCUGGACGCGUUGCACGACGUGUGCGAAUGGCUGGUUAAGGGGGGGGAGGUGGCUGUGUUCGACGCGACAAACUCGACGAUGGAGCGGCGGCGGAUGAUACGCGACAUAGUCGUGCACAAAAUGGGCUUUAAACUGUUCUUUGUGGAAUCCAUCUGUGAUGACCCUAGGAUUAUCGAGCAGAAUAUUAUGGAAGUUAAAGUGAGCAGUCCAGACUACACAAACAUACAGAACACGGACAACGUCCUAAACGAUUUUCUCCUACGCAUUGAACACUACAAGGAGAAGUACGAACCGCUCGACGAAAGUCUGGAGUCCGAGUGCAGUUUCAUGAAGAUAUACGACACCGGUGAGAAGGUGGUGGUCCAUAAACACGAGGGUCACAUACAGAGCAGGAUUGUUUACUACCUGAUGAAUAUACAUAUAGUGCCGAGAACUAUUUAUCUGACAAGGCACGGCGAGAGCGCGCACAACCUGGUGGGGCGCAUCGGUGGGGACAGCGCGCUGUCGGCGCGCGGGCGGCAGUACGCGCGCGCGCUCGCCGGCUACAUCGAGCAGCAGCGCAUCCCGGGCCUGCGCGUGUGGACCUCGUGGAUGAAGCGCGCCAUCCAGACUGUUACCGACGUGCGCGCGCCGCAGGAGCGCUGGAAGGCGCUCAACGAGAUCGACGCGGGCAUAUGCGAGGAGAUGACGUACGCAGAAAUCCAGGAGAAAUACCCAACGGACUUCAACGCGAGGGACGCCAACAAGUUUGCAUACCGGUACCCUCGGGGAGAGAGCUACGAGGAUCUGGUGGCCAGGCUGGAGCCCGUCAUCAUGGAGCUGGAGAGACAGGGCAACGUGCUGGUGGUCUCCCACCAGGCGGUGAUGAGGUGCCUGCUGGCGUACUUCUUGGAUAAGUCCGCUGAAGAGCUCCCCUACCUCCACGUACCGCUCCACACCGUGAUCAAGCUCACGCCAGUCGCGUACGGGUGUAGAGAGGAGCACAUCAAGCUGUCCGUCGAUGCCGUGGACACGCACCGGCCGAAACCCUCUGUAACAAACUCUGCAAAAUAAGUAUCAAAGCAUAUCACUGGUAGUGGUAGGGAAAAUAUAUGAAUAUUGCAAGAAACACAUUUGAAGGUGAUACCAGCCCCGCCUAUAAAGCCUCCAGUGCCGCCAAUUUUGAACGGCGACGCGAACGGCGAAGAUAAAGACAAUCAACAUUAACAUAGAUAGACAAUCACCAUAGACAAGUUUAUUAUUUUAGCUUCUGACCAAUACAUCGUGAAUGGUUAAUAUGCUGGCAUAUGACUUCAAUCACCUGACAAUCUUUUUUUCUAAUGUAAUCUUUUAAACAUAAAUUUGUAUAAAUUAGUACAUUAAAUUAAUUAAUGUGUACUUGUACAUUAAGUACCGAUUUAAUUUUACUUAAUUAUUUCAAAAAAAUUAUAUAUUUUCAGGAAAUUUCAGUUGUAUUUUUUCGGUAAAAACAUGUAUUUCUGGGUUGCCAGGGAAGUCACAGAAUGUCGAGAUGAGACUGAUGUUAAGUGAGUGUAAUAUUAAGUCGUGUUAUACAACGCCAUUAUAAAAAGUAAAAAAAAAAUGAAAUUAAAUUUCAUCCAUUUCCAUUUUAUGUAUAAAUCGCGUGGAGUCACAUUUUUUAGGUUAGAGCAGCCAACCGACCCGGUGGUUCGCCAGUUGGUAACCGUUCACCACCGCCCAUGUACAUUUGCAGAGUACGAGCCUCUGCAAAUGCGUUGCAUAAAGAAAUAGAUAGGAUAAGCCAGGACGGGCCUUCCGACUUAUUCAUAUUUAUUACAAUUAUGAUUCUUGAUAGUUUCUAUAGCAGGAGAAAAGUUCCCUAUUUAUAGUGGUAAUAAACAUUUAUAUGCUUGUUUAAAACUAUUUUUAUUUAUUCAAAAGUAAAGAGAAAUACAAGACUAAACUUAAUUUAAAUGCGACAUUUUUUUUUCUUUAACCAAUUUUAACUAAGACGAACAAAUGCUAUAUUUGGCGAAGUUUAAAUGCAUGAAGCAGAUCAUACGGCCUAAGGAACUAAUUUGGUUUAUUAUUCAACAUAAUAAAACGCAUCAGACAUUACUAGUCUCUUGAGAUUAAUUUCGGUAUAAAAUACCGACAAAACUUCUUGAUCUUUACCAAAGAUUUUCAUUCACUUCAAAGUUCAAACCCAGCACUAUGGCACUUGGAAUGCGGAUGAAUAUGUUUCGAUGUAUGAGCGAGAUGAUUUUUCUUCCGUGAUCACAGACUGAGACAUGCUUGUCACUGUCAAAAUGACAAUAUUAAACUUAAAUACUAACACCAUUGAUACAUAAUAUUCUUAUUUAAAAAACUAUAAAACAAUUUUACAUCGAAACAUAAUCAACCUAUUUAUAUUUGUUUUUUUUUUUGUGACUCCGGUGUUAAAUAUUUUUAUAAAAUAUCUAUUCGUCUAUACUUCCGUCAUCUUAAUGUUAAUAUACCUAACUACUAUAUUUAUUAUAAGGGUUUUUACAAAGUGGCUAUACGUUAAUUGUAAUUGUUUAUUUAAAUAUUAAAUAUAAGUUUAUUAUAAGUGAA
rnacentral:misc_RNA from 1 species